UACAGAGGUCUCAAGCGUUGUUCGGAUUCAUUGGGCGUAAAGGGUGUGUAGGUGGCGCCGUAAGUCGGGUGUGAAAUUUCGGAGCUUAACUCCGAAACUGCAUUCGAUACUGCGGUGCUUGAGGACUGGAGAGGAGACUGGAAUUCAUGGUGUAGCAGUGAAAUGCGUAGAGAUCAUGAGGAAGACCAGUGGCGAAGGCGGGUCUCUGGGCCGAUACUGACGCUGGAGGAGCGAAAGCGUGGGGAGCGAACAGG
rnacentral:rRNA from 1 species